rnacentral:rRNA from 1 species
CCCGCUCAGAAACUUAAAGGAAGUUGACGGGGGCCCGCGACAAGCGGAGGAACAUGUGGUUUAAUUCGAUGAUACGCGAGGAACCUUACCUGGGCUUAAAUGGGGAGUGACAGCUGUCGAAAGAUGGUUUUCUUCGGACACUCUUCAAGGUGCUGCAUGGUUGUCGUCAGCUCGUGCCGUGAGGUGUCGGGUUAAGUCCCAUAACGAGCGCAACCCUUACCGUUAGUUACCAUCAGGUUAAGCUGGGGACUCUAGCGGGACUGCCACCGCAAGGUGAGAGGAAGGUGGGGAUGACGUCAAAUCAGCACGGCCCUUAUGUCCAGGGCUACACACGUGUUACAAUGGCCGGUACAAAGGGCAGCUACUUCGCGAGAAGAUGCUAAUCUCGAAAGCCGGUCUCAGUUCGGAUCGAAGUCUGCAACCCGACUUCGUGAAGCUGGAUUCGCUAGUAAUCGCGCAUCAGCCAUGGCGCGGUGAAUACGUUCCCGGGCCUU